rnacentral:rRNA from 1 species
AACGAACGCUGGCGGCAUGCCUAACACAUGCAAGUCGAACGAGACCUUCGGGUCUAGUGGCGCACGGGUGCGUAACGCGUGGGAACCUGCCUUUAGGUUCGGAAUAACUCAGAGAAAUUUGAGCUAAUACCGGAUGAUGUCUUCGGACCAAAGAUUUAUCGCCUUUAGAUGGGCCCGCGUUGGAUUAGCUAGUUGGUGGGGUAAAGGCCUACCAAGGCGACGAUCCAUAGCUGGUCUGAGAGGAUGAUCAGCCACACUGGGACUGAGGCACGGCCCAGACUCCUACGGGAGGCAGCAGUGGGGAAUAUUGGACAAUGGGCGAAAGCCUGAUCCAGCAAUGCCGCGUGAGUGAUGAAGGCCUUAGGGUUGUAAAGCUCUUUUACCCGAGAUGAUAAUGACAGUAUCGGGAGAAUAAGCUCCGGCUAACUCCGU